GACAGAGGGGGCAAGCGUUGCUCGGAAUUACUGGGCGUAAAGGGCGCGUAGGCGGGAUGGCAAGUCGGUCGUGAAAUCCUUCGGCUCAACCGAAGAACGUCGAUCGAUACUGCUGUUCUUGAGGGUUGCAGAGGAGACUGGAAUUCCCGGUGUAGCGGUGAAAUGUGUAGAGAUCGGGAGGAACACCGGUGGCGAAGGCGGGUCACUGGACCGGUACUGACGCUGAGGCGCGAAAGCGUGGGGAGCAAACGGG
rnacentral:rRNA from 1 species